rnacentral:miRNA from 1 species
UCAGCUGUAGUUGACGACAAAU